GACAGAGGCCUCGAGCGUUAGGCGGAAUCACUGGGCUUAAAGCGUGUGUAGGCGGGCCCGUAAGUGUCUUGUGAAAUCCCACGGCUCAACCGUGGAACUGCUGGGCAUACUGCGGGUCUUGGGCCAACUAGGGGCAGCCGGAACAAGCGGUGGAGCGGUGAAAUGCGUAGAUAUCGCUUGGAACGCCGAAGGUGAAAACAGGCUGCUGGGUUUGCGCCGACGCUGAGACACGAAAGCCAGGGGAGCAAACGGG
rnacentral:rRNA from 1 species